AAUUGUCAAAUAUGGGUCUGUUGUUUCUAUUGCCAUGCUCCAUUGAAAUUACAUGAAGUUUCCAUGUAACCCGUGAAACAUAUUUAUCAAAAUAAAAAGGUACUACGCCUACCAGCUAAUUCAAUGGCGACCCUUCACCAACCAUUAAGGCCUUUUCCAUCAGUUAGGCAUUUAUAACUGAGUUGAUGCACAACACAAGAGUUCACACUCACAAUAUCCUCUAACCACAUUCUUCCGAUUCAAAACCAUUACAAGCAAUCAUUAUGUCAACUCAAACUUCACCGGAAAAUCUCACCAUCGAUCCCUACAAGCACCUCCGCAUCAUCCCUCUCUCUGAUGGCACCAUUACUCGCUUACCAGAAAUUACAAACUUAUUGCCCAGACCUCAACACCCUAUUCCUAUCCUCACCAAAGACAUCACCAUUAAUCAAUCAAAUAACACAUGGGCCCGGAUAUUCCUACCCCAACAAACACUAGAUUACACUUCCUCCCACACCAAGCUUCCUCUUAUUGUUUGGUUCCACGGAGGAGGGUUCAUACUUUUCAGCGCAGCUUCAACCUUUUUCCACGAUUAUUGUGCAAGCCUUGCUAUUGAGCUCACUGCUGUUGUCGUUUCCAUAGAGUAUCGCCUCGCCCCCGAGCACCGUCUUCCAGCUGCCUAUGAGGACGCUGUGGAGGCAUUACACUGGAUUAAAUCAAGCCCUGAUGAGUGGUUGAGAGACUUUGCUGAUCUCAGAAAAUGUUUCCUUAUGGGGGCUAGCGCCGGCGCUAAUAUAGCUUACCAUGCUGGACUACGAGUAGCUGAGACAGUCGAACAUCUAGAGCCCUUAAAGAUUGAAGGGCUAAUAUUGCACCAACCCUUCUUCGGUGGGUCAAAGAGGACUGAAUCGGAAUUGAGGAUGAUGAACGAUCCCAUUUUACCACUUUGUUCCAAUGAUCUGAUGUGGGAAUUAGCUUUGCCAAUUGGUGCUGACCGUGAUCAUGAGUUUUGCAAUCCAACGGUGAAGGGAGAUUCAAAGGCGCUGACUAAAAUGAGGCAGUUAGGGUGGAGGAUCUUCGUUCAUUGGGGUGAUAGAGAUCCUCUGAUGGAUCGUCAAGUUUUGUUGGUAAAAAUGCUAAGUGAGAAAGGUUUAGUAGUUGUGAAUCAUUCUUCGGAGGGACAUUUUCAUGGGGUAGAGUUAGUUGAGCCCUCCAAAUGCACGGGCCUGUAUGUGGCUUACAAAAGUUUUAUAUCAUCUUCAGUGCUUGCCUAGGCUGUGAUAUACUCCUUCUCUAUCUCUAAUAAGUUCGUGUAACA
rnacentral:misc_RNA from 1 species